rnacentral:rRNA from 1 species
GCUGCUUACCAUGCAAGUCGAACGGAAGGCCCCUUCGGGGGUACUCUAGUGGCGAACGGGUGAGUAACACGUGGGCAAUCUGCCCUGCACUUCGGGAUAAGCCUGGGAAACUGGGUCUAAUACCGGAUAGGACCUUUAGGCGCAUGUCUUUAGGUGGAAAGCUUUUGCGGUGUGGGAUGGGCCCGCGGCCUAUCAGCUUGUUGGUGGGGUGAUGGCCUACCAAGGCGACGACGGGUAGCCGGCCUGAGAGGGUGUCCGGCCACACUGGGACUGAAAUACGGCCCAGACUCCUACGGGAGGCAGCAGUGGGGAAUAUUGCUCAAUGGGCGCAAGCCUGAUGCAGCGACGCCGCGUGGGGGAUGACGGCCUUCGGGUUGUAAACCUCUUUCACCAUCGACGAAGGUCCGGGUUUUCUCGGAUUGACGGUAGGUGGAGAAGAAGCACCGGCCAACUACGUGCCAGCAGCCGCGGUAAUACGUAGGGUGCGAGCGUUGUCCGGAAUUACUGGGCGUAAAGAGCUCGUAGGUGGUUUGUCGCGUUGUUCGUGAAAUCUCACGGCUUAACUGUGAGCGUGCGGGCGAUACUGGCAUACUAGAGUACUGCAGGGGAGACUGGAAUUCCUGGUGUAACGGUGGAAUGCGCAGAUAUCAUGAGGAACACCGGUGGCGAAGGCGGGUCUCUGGGCAGUAACUGACGCUGAGGAGCGAAAGCGUGGGGAGCGAACAGGAUUAGAUACCCUGGUAGUCCACGCCGUAAACGGUGGGUACUAGGUGUGGGUUUCCUUCCUUGGGAUCCGUGCCGUAGCUAACGCAUUAAGUACCCCGCCUGGGGAGUACGGCCGCAAGGCUAAAACUCAAAGGAAUUGACGGGGGCCCGCACAAGCGGCGGAGCAUGUGGAUUAAUUCGAUGCAACGCGAAGAACCUUACCUGGGUUUGACAUCACAGGACGCGUCUAGAGAUAGGCGUUCCCUUGUGGCCUGGUGCAGGUGGUGCAUGGCUGUCGUCAGCUCGUGUCGUGAGAUGUUGGGUUAAGUCCCGCAACGAGCGCAACCCUUGUCUCAUGUUGCCAGCGGGUAAUGCCGGGGACUCGUGAGAGACUGCCGGGGUCAACUCGGAGGAAGGGGGGGAGGACGUCAAGUCAUCAUGCCCCCUAUGUCCAGGGCUUCACACAUGCUACAAUGGCCGGUACAAAGGGGUGCGAUGCCGCAAGGGUAAGCGAAUCCUUUUAAAACCGGUCUCAGUUCGGAUUGGGGUCUGCAACUCGACCCCAUGAAGUCGGAGUCGCUAGUAAUCGCAGAUCAGCAACGCUGCGGUGAAUACGUUCCCGGGCCUUGUACACACCGCCCGUCACGUCAUGAAAGUCGGUAACACCCGAAGCCAGUGGCCUAACC